CAGGGAAUCUUCGGCAAUGGGGGCAACCCUGACCGAGCAACGCCGCGUGAGUGAAGAAGGUUUUCGGAUCGUAAAGCUCUGUUGUAAGAGAAGAACGUGUGUGAGAGUGGAAAGUUCACACAGUGACGGUAACUUACCAGAAAGGGACGGCUAACUACGUGCCAA
rnacentral:rRNA from 1 species